rnacentral:rRNA from 1 species
AGGCCUAANACAUGCAAGUCGAGCGGNNNAAGGGAGCUUGCUCCUGGAUUGAGCGGCGGACGGGUGAGUAAUGCCUAGGAAUCUGCCUGGUAGUGGGGGAUAACGUCCGGAAACGGGCGCUAAUACCGCAUACGUCCUGAGGGAGAAAGNNNGGGAUCUUCGGACCUNNCGCUAUCAGAUGAGCCUAGGUCGGAUUAGCUAGUUGGUGGGGUAAAGGCUUACCAAGGCGACGAUCCGUAACUGGUCUGAGAGGAUGAUCAGUCACACUGGANCUGAGACACGGUCCAGACUCCUACGGGAGGCAGCAGUGGGGAAUAUUGGACAAUGGGCGAAAGCCUGAUCCAGCC